ACCAAUUCUGGGGAUAAAACUGUUCCUUCAGGUAUAAUGGCAUUGACGCAAGAUUAGGUUGUGGUAUAUCCUGAUCAUUUGGCCUUUUUUCUAUGUCAAUUGAUCCUGGAAAUGCCUCGCACAUUU
rfam:Eutrema salsugineum unplaced genomic scaffold scaffold_13, whole genome shotgun sequence.